AUUGAACGCUGGCGGCAUGCCUUACACAUGCAAGUCGAACGGCAGCAUGAUCUAGCUUGCUAGAUUGAUGGCGAGUGGCGAACGGGUGAGUAAUACAUCGGAACGUGCCCUGUAGUGGGGGAUAACUAGUUGAAAGAUUAGCUAAUACCGCAUACGACCUGAGGGUGAAAGUGGGGGACCGCAAGGCCUCAUGCUAUAGGAGCGGCCGAUGUCGGAUUAGCUAGUUGGUGAGGUAAAGGCUCACCAAGGCGACGAUCAGUAGCUGGUCUGAGAGGACGAUCAGCCACACUGGGACUGAGACACGGCCCAGACUCCUACGGGAGGCAGCAGUGGGGAAUUUUGGACAAUGGGGGCAACCCUGAUCCAGCAAUGCCGCGUGUGUGAAGAAGGCCUUCGGGUUGUAAAGCACUUUUGUCCGGAAAGAAAUCGCACUUACUAAUAUUAGGUGUGGAUGACGGUACCGGAAGAAUAAGGACCGGCUAACUACGUGCCAGCCGCCGCCGUAAUAC
rnacentral:rRNA from 1 species